GAUGAAGAACGUAGCGAAAUGCGAUACUUGGUGUGAAUUGCAGAAUCCCGUGAACCAUCGAGUCUUUGAACGCAAGUUGCGCCCGAAGCCAUCAGGUUGAGGGCACGUCUGCCUGGGCGUCACAUAUCGUUGCCCAAUGCCUAUUGCAGUGCAAUAGGAAUUUCUAGGGCGAAUGAUGGCUUCCCGUGAGCGUUGUUGCCUCGCGGUUGGUUGAAAAUCGAGUCCUUGGUAGGGUGUGCCAUGGUAGAUGGUGGUCGAGUUAGAACGAUACCGAUCAUGUGCAUGCUCCCCAAAAUAUGGCCUCUAUGACCCACACGCGUCUUUUGACGCUCAUGACGAGACCUCAGGUCAGGCGGGGCUACCCGCUGAAUUUAAGCAUAUCAAUAAAGCGGAGGA
rnacentral:misc_RNA from 1 species